rnacentral:rRNA from 1 species
AGCCCGCACUUGAUUAGUUAGUUGGUGGGGUAAUGGCCUACCAAGACUUUGAUCAAUAGCUGAUUUGAGAGGAUGAUCAGCCACAUUGGGACUGAGACACGGCCCAAACUCCUACGGGAGGCAGCAGUGGGGAAUCUUGCACAAUGGAGGAAACUCUGAUGCAGCGAUGCCGCGUGAGUGAAGAAGGCCUUUGGGUUGUAAAGCUCUUUCGUCGGGGAAGAAAAUGACUGUACCCGAAUAAGAAGGUCCGGCUAACUUCGUGCCAGCAGCCGCGGUAAUACGAAGGGACCUAGCGUAGUUCGGAAUUACUGGGCUUAAAGAGUUCGUAGGUGGUUGAAAAAGUUGGUGGUGAAAUCCCAGAGCUUAACUCUGGAACUGCCAUCAAAACUUUUCAGCUAGAGUUUGAUAGAGGAAAGCAGAAUUUCUAGUGUAGAGGUGAAAUUCGUAGAUAUUAGAAAGAAUACCAAUUGCGAAGGCAGCUUUCUGGAUCAUUACUGACACUGAGGAACGAAAGCAUGGGUAGCGAAGAGGAUUAGAUACCCUCGUAGUCCAUGCCGUAAACGAUGUGUGUUAGACGUUGGAAAUUUAUUUUCAGUGUCGCAGCGAAAGCGAUAAACACACCGCCUGGGGAGUACGACCGCAAGGUUAAAACUCAAAUGAAUUGACGGGGACCCGCACAAGUAGUGGAGCAUGUGGUUUAAUUCGAAGAUACGCGCAGAACCUUACCAACACUUGACAUGUUCGUCGCGACUUUAAGAGAUUAAAGUUUUCGGUUCGGCCGGACGAAACACAGGUGCUGCAUGGCUGUCGUCAGCUCGUGUCGUGAGAUGUUGGGUUAAGUCCCGCAACGAGCGCAACCCUCACUUUUAGUUGCCAUCAUUUAGUUGGGCACUCUGAAAGAACUGCCAGUGAUAAGCUGG